CACCAACUGACUCCAUAGACUGGACACUAGCUAAUAUCAACGCCUGCGCCGCUGCAGGCGGCCUCCACGAACCCGGAAAUGGUAAUAUUAUUAGGCGACCGGCCGCGGAGACAGCGGAAGUGACGUGCAUGCGGCGCGCGAACCCUGAAAGGUUGCUGGGUGGAGCUGGAUCAGCUGGUGAAGGCGUGGCUAUGCAGGAAGUUUGGCAUCGGUUUUCUCCUCCGCGCCUCUAGUUUUGGUCCUUGCCUGGAGAUCUAUAGGUACACAUGUCAAGGAAAGUGAACAUACAGUGAGAUGGUGGCUACCUACAAGCCAGGAGGCCUCAGAAUGAAACCUACUUUGCUGGCACCUUGACCUUGGACUCAAAACCUCCAGAACUGUGAGAAAAAAAACUUCUGUAGUUUAAGUCAUCCAGUCUGUGGUAUUUUGUCAUGGCAGCCUGAGUAGACUAAUACACCAUGUUAUCGAAGAGAAAUAUGGUUACUCUGUAAUAAAGCAGUCUUAAUGUUGGCCAAUUUAA